rnacentral:rRNA from 1 species
AACGUAGGUGGCGAGCGUUAUCCGGAUUUACUGGGCGUAAAGCGCGUGCAGGUGGCUCGAUAAGUCGGGCGUGAAAUCUCUCGGCUCAACUGGGAGAGGCCGUCCGAUACUAUCGGGCUUGAGGGCAGUAGAGGGAGGUGGAAUUCCCGGUGUAGUGGUGAAAUGCGUAGAUAUCGGGAGGAACACCUGUGGCGAAAGCGGCCUCCUGGACUGCCCCUGACACUCAGACGCGAAAGCUAGGGGAGCGAACGGG